ensembl:lncRNA
GGGAAUUCAAGAAGAGUUCCUGAUGCACCCUUCCAAGAAAAAGAACUCGAGGUGUGAGCUGGGAUGAAAGGAGGGAAACGCUGUGAGAGAUGUGGCUGCCUUUCUGCACAGGGCAAGCACCUGUGUGCGAACGUAUGUAUGUGUGCGCGUUCUACAUACACACUGCUUCAUACUGCCGUAAAUGGGUUUGAGGUUUGCAAAAUGGUCCCAUAAAUCAUUAAUUAAUGAUAAUACAAAUAUGAAUAAUGCAAGAGGCAGAAGGGCAAGAGUCACCACUCCAUCUUCAACACCAUCUCGGAUGCUUGGAUAAGCAAUGUGCCCACAGUAGUCUCCCCUGCCAAGAGCACCAUUACAUACAGAAAUGCUGAAGAAUCACAAAAAGGUUGCAGUAUGAUCCAUGGGAGAUGGAAGGCCUUCAUCAAUAGCAGGCUAAUGCAGAUGACUUUAACCCUUUAAGUCCUUCUGUCUGUUCAGACUCCCCAGUUCCUGUUUCCUCAGAAGUGGUCCAUGGAAUUAUAAGAUACUGCUGCAUCCUGCUGUUAGAAACUGAACUGCAACUGGUAAGCAUUUCGUAAGUUCACAAAGGGAGUUUUCCAGUCUUAUCUUUAUUAACUGUGAAUUUAUCUCUCUUCCCAGAUACAAUGUUGAGAGAGGAGGUGAGCUGGAGGGGGUCAUUCCUGCUGUACAAGGAUCAAAUGCCAUAAACAGCCCAGAGUGUGACUGUGCUUCGCCUGUGCCCUUUUAAUUGCCCCCGUUAAAGCACACAUUAAACACGCAAUCCCUGUGACCAAAGGCCCAGAAAUCCUAUUAAAGUUGGGAAGUGACGAUGAGAAGCAGCCCUGGCAUCUACGCACCACUGCAUGCACAAACAGACCUCCGCUGCUCCGAGCCCGCAUCGGCAAGGACUUCAUUUUGAAAGCUACUUCCAGUGCUCUGAUAAGGCAGGCACUGCAAUGGCAAGAUACUGCACUAUGCAGCAUCCAAGAAACAAUAUCAACUCAGUAACAUAAAUAAAACGAAGACUGGCUUUGGUUCUUCACUUAUAUUUCCACCUCUGUGCCACCAACUCCUCAGCAGCUCCCUCCAGUUCUUCCCAAAGAACAAGAGCUCACAUGCAUCAAAGAGUGGAAAAGAUGUUCCCCACGAGCGCUCUCCCUACCGACAGAUGGAUGGCUGCACAGCUCAGACUUCUUUGUGUGUGACCUGUUUUGAAGAAGUUUUGAACCACUUAGCUUUCACAAAGAGCUGAAUCCAGCAGCAUUGAGCGAAGAAGUGUGACUCUGGUGUCUGACAAAGGUAUGAGUCAAGUAUGUGAUAUUACAGAAGGAGGACACAAGAGGGAUCAGCAAUUGACAUAUAUCGAAGAAUUAACGUAAGAAAAGGAUGAGCUGAAAACAAUGAAUUUGGUGUCAUUUCGGAAUUUCCACAAAGACCAAGAUGCCAAUUAGCACCGGAGGAGUCACACACUCAGUCUCAGUAGUUUUCUCCUUAUCGCAGGAAGGAAGAGCCUAUUUGAAGAUGUAAGACAAUGUCAGACAAUAGACAGGCAAUUCCAUAACUGGAAACUCACCAAGUUCAGAGGGAGGACAAAAGUGCACCAUAAUGUUAAUUAUAUCCACGCGCAGGAUAAACAACACAGUUGCCAAUCUUACUCAUACACAUAUAGAAG